rnacentral:rRNA from 1 species
UACGAAGGGGGCUAGCGUUGCUCGGAAUCACUGGGCGUAAAGGGUGCGUAGGCGGGUUUUUAAGUCAGGGGUGAAAUCCUGGAGCUCAACUCCAGAACUGCCUUUGAUACUGAGGAUCUUGAGUAUGGGAGAGGUGAGUGGAACUGCGAGUGUAGAGGUGAAAUUCGUAGAUAUUCGCAAGAACACCAGUGGCGAAGGCGGCUCACUGGCCCAUAACUGACGCUGAGGCACGAAAGCGUGGGGAGCAAACAGG